GCGAACGAGACAACAACAAAUAUCAUUUCUCGAAGCGAAAUCUUCAUUAUCUUCAUUCAUUUAUGGAAGCGAAAUCUUCACCACCUUAUCAUCAUCUUCAAAUAUUAUUUCUGUUACGUUAGCAAACAAGACAACAACGAUAAUAAAAGCUUCACCAUCUUCAAUCAUUUCUGGAGGCGAAAUCUUCACCAUCUUCACCAUCCUCUUUGAAUAUCAUUUAUGGUUUGGAUGUCCGAGCUACUGCUGGUGUAGUUAUGCAUGCAAUGAAGAAUGUUGUUGCCUCGGGUAGGACCAUGGUUUGCACCAUACAUCAGUCAAGCAUCGAUUUACUUGAGGCUUUUGGUGAGAUUUCUUUUGCAAUUGUCGUUGUGGAGUUGAAUAAAUCGUUGUUGUCAAUGGUAGAGUUGUUGGAUGAGUGUUUGGCUAUAGGAGAGUCUAUGGGAAUCAAUGAGUUGCAUCGAUUUCACUUGGGUUCAGCUUAUUUGAUUAUGUUAUUUUGGUUCGAGGAGAUGCAAAAGAGGUUGUUGAAUGCUUCCAACUAUGAAAUUCCUGCUGAAAUCAUUGUGGUUUUGCAUAUUAGAGGACGAGUGGGGUUAUCGGUAAUGUACGUUUCAAGUUAUUAAGUGUCAUCAAAAGGUUCGUUUGGGGCUCCAUUCAUGGCGGAAUGUUGUGUGUCUAGUGUAAGAGAGCAUCUAA